GCCUUCGUGGUGUAGUGGUCAGCACGCUCGGCUUGCAUUCCAGAGGUUCGAGUCCCGGCGAGGGCA
rnacentral:tRNA from 1 species